AUUGAACGCUGGCGGCAGGCCUAACACAUGCAAGUCGAGCGGAUGAAGGGAGCUUGCUCCUGGAUUCAGCGGCGGACGGGUGAGUAAUGCCUAGGAAUCUGCCUGGUAGUGGGGGAUAACGUCCGGAAACGGGCGCUAAUACCGCAUACGUCCUGAGGGAGAAAGUGGGGGAUCUUCGGACCUCACGCUAUCAGAUGAGCCUAGGUCGGAUUAGCUAGUUGGUGGGGUAAAGGCCUACCAAGGCGACGAUCCGUAACUGGUCUGAGAGGAUGAUCAGUCACACUGGAACUGAGACACGGUCCAGAAUCCUACGGGAGGCAGCAGUGGGGAAUAUUGGACAAUGGGCGAAAGCCUGAUCCAGCCAUGCCGCGUGUGUGAAGAAGGUCUUCGGAUUGUAAAGCACUUUAAGUUGGGAGGAAGGGCAGUAAGUUAAUACCUUGCUGUUUGGACGUUACCAACAGAAUAAGCACCGGCUAACUUCGU
rnacentral:rRNA from 1 species